rnacentral:rRNA from 1 species
UGGGGAAUAUUGGACAAUGGGCGAAAGCCUGAUCCAGCCAUGCCGCGUGUGUGAAGAAGGUCUUCGGAUUGUAAAGCACUUUAAGUUGGGAGGAAGGGCAUUAACCUAAUACGUUAGUGUUUUGACGUUACCGACAGAAUAAGCACCGGCUAACUCUGUGCCAGCAGCCGCGGUAAUACAGAGGGUGCAAGCGUUAAUCGGAAUUACUGGGCGUAAAGCGCGCGUAGGUGGUCUGUUAAGUUGGAUGUGAAAUCCCCGGGCUCAACCUGGGAACUGCAUUCAAAACUGACUGACUAGAGUAUGGUAGAGGGUGGUGGAAUUUCCUGUGUAGCGGUGAAAUGCGUAGAUAUAGGAAGGAACACCAGUGACGAAGGCGACCACCUGGACUAAUACUGACACUGAGGUGCGAAAGCGUGGGGAGCAAACA